rnacentral:tRNA from 1 species
CUCGAGGAGAACUUCUAGUAUAUUCUGUAUACCUAAUAUUAUAGCCUUUAUCAACAAUGGAAUCCCAACAAUUAUCUCAACAUUCACCCAUUUCUCAGAAUGAGAUAUACUUUGAGUAAAAGUGGUGGAGGAUAUUACUUAUGUCCUUGGUAGCAUGGGUCAAGAUAGUUGUGUUAACUUGUUAAUUAUUUUUUACUAUGCUUCUCAAUUAAAGAUGAAGUUUAACGAAUGGUCUAGACUUAUUCUCACAGUUUACCCGGAGGUCAUCAUUCUCUUUAAUGACAAUAUUUACUCUGUCGUCACUUUCGUAAUUGUUUCGUGUCUGUUUCGCAGUCCAUUUGGAAUGCGACAGUAAGUUAAUUACAAGAAGUAGUAACAACAACUUAGCGAUAAUGUUUCUCAUGUGUGACGCAGGGUUACUUUUGACUUAAAACGACCAUUUUGCAGUUUUACUUCACGU